rnacentral:misc_RNA from 1 species
AAGUCGUAACAAGGUUUCCGUAGGUGAACCUGCGGAAGGAUCAUUAACACGUAUUUAACGUAAAAACAACCCCGUGAACCUUCAGACGUGCUCUCUUUAGCAAUCCCUGGUAAAUCAUUGUCAAACAGAUUUUGAGUCAGGGACUUCUUGGAUAUGGAGCAUCACGCGUAAGCGGCCUGGCACCCUAGCAAUCUGACAGUGGUUGCGCAAGGGUGGCGCAGUAAACGACAGCACCUAACGACCCCAAUGUCUUGAAGCGGUGCGCUGUAACAACCGCACCACCAACCGAACAACUGUUAACAAUGGAUAUCUUGGUUCUC